CUUUUAAGGUGGAAGACACUUGCACUGAAUUAAUUUAUUAGUUUCUCCUUUUAGGAAUGAAGCACGUAGUCACUAUGGCAGAGUUGCAGAACAUUUGGUGCAACAGUACACACACUGCCACCACAACAAAUGACAGUAAUCAAGUUAAAUAGCACAGUGCCGUGAUUCCCUCCAGUACUGUGAGAGUACAGCAUUGUUGGAGCAUAUUUUACAGAAUGCUAUGCAUUCAUUCUACUCCCAGAGCCUCAAAGCUUAAUUGUUGUUCUUUGAAAAUCCCACACACAAUCGUAUGAAAGGACUCACUCACAUGUAUACAUGUUUAAGGAGGCCUCUUGAAACCACCUGAGCUUGCCUGACAGAGGAAAAAAUAAUGUUCUGAAGAAGGCAGCCAUUUGAUCAUAAAUCUUCAGCUUUUUCCAGUACGGGGUCCACAAUGUAACUUUGUAGGCUAGGGGCUUUCUCUGCCUUAAUGUACAUUCUUGCACUGGGGAGAUGUGUGUAGGGAGGGUACAAGGGUGGGGAGGAGAUGGGAUGCAUGCGGAACAGAGUUUUAGUUGCCUUGGUGACCCAGCGUCUUUCUGUUCUCCUUAUCUCUUUGUAUUCAGGCCUUUUGUGUGCUCUAGUGUCCCAUACAAGUGCAGUUUUAAAUCUGAGUCUCAGCUAUUGGAAAGGGAUCCUUGUCUAUGUACUUGUCAGUACGGGUGCAACAUUGCUCACAGUUCUUACUGUUGUAAAGUGAGUGCACAAUCAAUGAACGACCCCUAGUGCUGUCACCUGUGAGUCCAUUCUGCAGGCUGCUUGCUGCUGUGUCUGCAGAAGGAGGUUGCAUGACUACAGAUGUCCACUUCUGAUGGCACCUGAGGCUUUGGCAGGCCUGCCUGGAUGGCAUGCGCACAAGGCCUGUGAACACCUCUCUGUCUGUCCACAACACCAGACAGGAGUGCUCAGCGCUGUGUUUCCUGGGCAGCGUGAUGCUGUCUCACCGCACACUGUUUGCAGAGGGAAACUUGUACUCCAGCAUACUGACAGAGCAAGAAGAACAAACACCAAUCAAGGUUGCUCAACAGCAAUUUGUUCACAGCGAGAGUACAGUGGAGAGCAGGCCAACCUCAACAGCAGCGACAGCUGACAAACACUAAAGACAUUCCCUCUAACUAUGUUCCACAUCAGGCCUAUGUUGUCAACACCAUUCCCCUGCCACUUUAAAUAAUUUCUCGCCUUUAAUGACAAUAACCUCCGAAACUGACACUCACUGUUUGACCUUGUUCAGUGCAGAUGGUUGUUUCUCUUUUAGACGUGAUACUGAAAUUUUCAGUUCUCCUUAAUAUGACUCAGUCCUUUGGUUUUCCUUGUAAUUCUUAUUUACUUGCUUCAAAUUUGAGUCCACCUCCU
rnacentral:lncRNA from 1 species